rnacentral:rRNA from 1 species
UGCAACUCGCCUGCAUGAAGUCGGAAUUGCUAGUAAUCGCAGAUCAGCAUGCUGUGGUGAAUACGUUCCCGGGCCUUGUACACACCGCCCGUCACACCAUGGGAGUCGGUAACACCCAAAGUUGGUAGUCUAACCGCAAGGAGGACGCCGCCUAAGGUGGGAUUGAUGACUGGGGUGAAGUCGUAACAAGGUACC